rnacentral:tRNA from 1 species
GAUUCCGUAGCUCAGUUGGUAGAGCAAUACACUUUUAAUGUAUGGGCCCUGGGUUCGAAUCCCAGCGGAAUCA